AACGAACGCUGGCGGCAUGCCUAACACAUGCAAGUCGAACGAAGCCUUCGGGCUUAGUGGCGCACGGGUGCGUAACGCGUGGGAAUCUGCCCUUGGGUUCGGAAUAACAGUUAGAAAUGACUGCUAAUACCGGAUGAUGUCUUCGGACCAAAGGUUUAUCGCCCAGGGAUGAGCCCGCGUAGGAUUAGGUAGUUGGUGGGGUAAUGGCCCACCAAGCCAACGAUCCUUAGCUGGUCUGAGAGGAUGAUCAGCCACACUGGGACUGAGACACGGCCCAGACUCCUACGGGAGGCAGCAGUGGGGAAUAUUGGACAAUGGGCGAAAGCCUGAUCCAGCAAUGCCGCGUGAGUGAUGAAGGCCUUAGGGUUGUAAAGCUCUUUUACCAGGGAUGAUAAUGACAGUACCUGGAGAAUAAGCUCCGGCUAACUCCGUGCCAGCCGCCGCCGUAACAC
rnacentral:rRNA from 1 species